CAGUGUUACAGCUCUUUUAGAAUUUGUCUAGCAGGUUUUCUGGUCUGUACUGGAACCCCCCA
ensembl:snRNA U7 U7 small nuclear RNA